GACGAACGCUGGCGGCGUGCUUAACACAUGCAAGUCGAACGGAAAGGCCCUGCUUUUGUGGGGUGCUCGAGUGGCGAACGGGUGAGUAACACGUGAGUAACCUGCCCUUGACUUUGGGAUAACUUCAGGAGACUGGGGCUAAUACCGGAUAGGAGCUCCUGCUGCAUGGUGGGGGUUGGAAAGUUUCGGCGGUUGGGGAUGGACUCUCGGCUUAUCAGCUUGUUGGUGGGGUAGUGGCUUACCAAGGCUUUGACGGGUAGCCGGCCUGAGAGGGUGACCGGCCACAUUGGGACUGAGAUACGGCCCAGACUCCUACGGGAGGCAGCAGUGGGGAAUAUUGCACAAUGGGCGGAAGCCUGAUGCAGCAACGCCGCGUGCGGGAUGACGGCCUUCGGGUUGUAAACCGCUUUCGCCUGUGACGAAGCGUGAGUGACGGUAAUGGAUAAAGAAGCACCGGCUAACUACGUG
rnacentral:rRNA from 1 species